rnacentral:rRNA from 1 species
AGAUUAAGUUAUUAAGGUCGCACGGUGGAUGCCUUGGCACUAGAAGCCGAUGAAGGACGUUACUAACGACGAUAUGCUUUGGGGAGCUGUAAGUAAGCUUUGAUCCAGAGAUUUCCGA